CUGGAAAGUGACAAUACUGAAGAAUGUGUUCAAUAUGUGCAGUAUAAUGAAUACAUAACACAUAACUACUCUGGAAAACUAUAGAGGUAUUAUCAUUUGUGUUACAAAAACUAUUUUAAUAAGUUCAACAUUUGUAUUACAAUAAUAAAGAAGUAUAAUAGAUUUUAAUUUGUGCUUAAAUUCCAAAGAUGAAACAAUAGAAAAGAUGAUAGAACAUUGGUUUCUUGAGAAUAGUGGACACUAAAAGUUAACAAUUUUAAAACUUCAGGAUAAUUGAUAAAUCUAUGAUUUUAUUUUAUAAAUCCACAGAAUAUCUAUAGAUUUUGUAUCUUUGUGAGAUUUACCCCUUUGGCUGUAAUAUCAAAAUCUCCUUCCAUGUAAUAAUUUUAAAAAAAAAUUAUCUGAAUUUGUUCAUUUUUUUCAACAAUUUUUCUUUGGUAGGGAUUACAUAUUACUGAACCAUAUUCCAUUGAAGUUCUAAAACUGUAUGACAUAUUUGUCCUGGUUUAUAAAAAACAAAAAAAAAAUCAUUCACUUCUAUUGUGGUCUGAAGAAAAUGUACAAUGUCAGACUUACCAAAAAUGAAAGCUUUUAAAGAUAAUGUUUACAUAGUUAAAAUGAUAAUAUGUUUAUUUACAAAAUAUUUACUAUGUUUCAGACUAAGCAAUAUAAAAAAUCCUUUGGGAAUUAUUUUAAAGACACCCAAACCAUUUUUGAUUCAAUUAUAAAAAUUAAGCAGGAACCAAUGAGUGAAGAAGACAAUAAUAUUAUUGAAAACAC